AUCUCUAAAAAUCACAAAAUUUAAACUAUAAUGUCCUUAAAUAUUGUAUAUUUGAUCUGGAAAGUUUCAGCACUAAACUCAACCCGCUGAAUACUUUUUUAAUUUUUUUGAUUUCGUCUUUUUCUAUUUUUUUGACUUUUUCUACUGAUUUUUUUGCGGGAAAUGUUUUUUUAAUAUUCCAUCACAGUACCAAAAAUAUGCAUAUAAAAUUUCAGACCAAUCGGACAACGUUUACCCACUCAAAUGAAUUUUUUUCCAAAAAUUUUUCUGGGUAAAAACUGCUGUUUGUUGGAAAUCAAUUUAGAAAUCAACCAAGAACACCCAAAACACCCAAAAUCUGAUACCAAAUGAU
rnacentral:lncRNA from 1 species